AUGCGAUUGGGAAAUGGCCCGGGAGCUCCAGGAAACCCAGGUGCCGUUGCUUCUGCGGAGCCUGGGCUGAGGAGGCAGGGCAGUGGGGACUUGAAAGAGGAGAUUGAUAUUCGACUGUCCAGGGUUCAGGAUAUCAAGUAUGAACCCCAACUCCUUGGAAGUGAUGAUGCUAGGCUGCUGCAACUGAAGACCCAGGGAAAUCAAAAUUGCUACAACUAUGUAUACAGGAUGAAAGCUCUGGAUGCCAUUCGUGCCUCUGAGAUCCCAUUUCAUGCUGACGGCCGGCAUCCUUGCUCCUUAAUGGGCAAGAACUUCCACUCCUACCUGCUAGAUCUGCAAAACACUAGUACUCCCUUCAAGUGUGUGUGCAAAGCCCUCGUUGAUACCCUGCUAGAUGGCUAUGAAACAGCCUGCUAUGGGACAGGGGUCUUUGGUCAGAAUGAAUACCUGCGCUAUCAGGAGGCCCUGAGUGAGCUGGCCACUGUGGUCAAAGCACGAAUUGGGAGCUCUCAGCAACAACACCAAUCAGCAGCCAAAGACCUAACUCAGUCCCCUGAAGUCUCCCCAACAACCAUCCAGGUGACAUACCUCCCCUCCAGUCAGAAGAGUAAACGUGCUAAACACUUCCUUGAGUUGAAGAGCUUUAAGGAUAACUAUAACACCUUAGAAAGUACUUUGUGA